rnacentral:rRNA from 1 species
GAUGAACGCUGGCGGCGUGCUUAACACAUGCAAGUCGAACGGUGAAGCAGGAGCUUGCUCUUGUGGAUCAGUGGCGAACGGGUGAGUAACACGUGAGCAACCUGCCCCCGACUCUGGGAUAAGCGCUGGAAACGGCGUCUAAUACUGGAUAUGUGAUGUGACCGCAUGGUCUGCAUCUGGAAAGAAUUUCGGUUGGGGAUGGGCUCGCGGCCUAUCAGCUUGUUGGUGAGGUAAUGGCUCACCAAGGCGUCGACGGGUAGCCGGCCUGAGAGGGUGACCGGCCACACUGGACUGAGACACGGCCCAGACUCCUACGGGAGGCAGCAGUGGGGAAUAUUGCACAAUGGGCGGAAGCCUGAUGCAGCAACGCCGCGUGAGGGAUGACGGCCUUCGGGUUGUAAACCUCUUUUAGUAGGGAAGAAGCGAAAGUGACGGUACCUGCAGAAAGAGCACCGGCUAACUACGUGCCAGCCGCCGCGGUAA